AAGAGAUCCAAUAUUUACUUCAAUAUCUCAGUUUUACUGAAUGGCAAAUACUUCUGCAAACUGCUAGCUCUGUGCCCUUAUUCUCAAAACAGACAAAUGAGCUUUAUCAUGUCAAAUCCCCUGUGGUAUUCCAUAUGAAUGACACCGGCCCCCAGCUCCAGCAGCAGUGGCUCCCCAUGAGGCAGACUCCUGCAGACAGAAAUUUGCUCAAGGGGGUCGGUCAGCUCAAGGCUUCCAAAUUCCUGUAUUACUUGACACCUGGCAUGGGCAUAACACUUUGUUUGAUCAAAGGACAAUGUACUCCAAACACAUCUUUAAACUUCCUUUUGGCUUCAGUGAGGCUUCUCCAACAUCUCUCUCUAAACCAAUGCCUGAAGCAUUUGAAAAAGAAUGUGCCUGGAUGCUGAGGUGUUCCUGCAAGGGCUUGAGCUGAGCUGUGCUGGAGAUGUGCACAAAGCCUGGGCUUGUUUUAUGUUUCCCCAUGUUCACAUUCAUCUGAGGGAGGCUGAAUUUGGGGCAGCUUUUAUAGUAAACCACAGUUCUCCAUAUACAAACAAUGUUUAAGAAUACAGGUUUCAAGUGGCCACAACAGUAAACCACAAUCUCUUGCUCACAGGGAUUUUACCUGGCAAAAGAGGUUUGAUUUUAAUCGUACUGAGGGAGUUCAUAGACUUCAUCAGAACCACUGGCAAAUACCCAAAAUUUACAUCCUCUGAAAUUCUUGAAGGUAAGCACGCCCUGCCCAGAACACAGAUAUUGUACAGUGAGAAAAGGAAGUUGCUAUCAUUU